rnacentral:rRNA from 1 species
GAUGAACGCUGGCGGCAUGCCUAACACAUGCAAGUCGAUCGGUAAGGCUCUUCGGAGUACACGAGAGGCGGACGGCUGAGUAACGCGUAGGAACACACCCUGCAGUGAGGGAUAAGACACCGAAAGGUGUUCUAAUACCGCAUACGGUCUUCGGAUUAAAGCAUUUAUGCGCUGAAGGAGUGGCCUGCGUCAUAUUAGAUAGUUGGUGAGGUAAUGGCUCACCAAGUCGAUGAUGUGUAGCUGGUCUGAGAGGAUGAUCAGCCAGACUGGAACUGAGACACGGUCCAGACUCCUACGGGAGGCAGCAGUGAGGAAUAUUUCACAAUGAGCGAAAGCUUGAUGGAGCAAUGCCGCGUGCAGGAUGAAGGCCCUCGGGUUGUAAACUGCUUUUAUAAGAGAAGAUUAUGACGGUAACUUAUGAAUAAGGGACGGCCAACUACGUG